UCUUCCAUCUUUUGUUUUAAAAUCUCAUUCAUGUCUAAUUUCUUGCCGUGUGUUGUAGCUCAGCGGGCUAAGGCACGUACUGAGUUUUUGCAACAUCAGUGGUCUGAAUCCGGCUGACGUUGACCUACGACACUUCGCUGUGCUUAUGUUUUGAAAAUCGGUAUCGUGCCAUCGGUGUUACAGUAAGCUUUCUUGAUAUACGGAUGCACAUUCCUGAAACAUCCAGCAGGUGGCAGCACACCACUCAAGGUUUUUCCUUUUCAUGUGGACUCUGGAAGGUGUACCAGCUUUUGAAAUGGUGCUGAGCAGUAUUUCAAGUUUUCCUUCAGUAAUUUGCAGAGAAGUAUGUCCUGGUAUCAUCCACCAUUAAACAUUCUGCCCAUCAUUUAAUUCCAGUUUUAUUUUCCCGUUCUAUUGAAAAUUUCAUCUCAUAUUUGACGAUAUAGCGGGCAGUGUAUUUCUCCCUGUAGGUGCUAGCUUAAUUUGUUAGGUGGUGUGAGUCCGCUAC